ACGCUGGCGGCAGGCUUACACAUGCAAGUCGAACGGUAACAGGAGAAAGCUUGCUUUCUUGCUGACGAGUGGCGGACGGGUGAGUAAUGCUUGGGAAUCUGGCUUAUGGAGGGGGAUAACGACGGGAAACUAUCGCUAAUACCGCGUAGAGUCGAGAGACGAAAGUGCGGGACCGCAAGGCCGCAUGCCAUAGGAUGAGCCCAAGUGGGAUUAGGUAGUUGGUGGGGUAAAGGCCUACCAAGCCGACGAUCUCUAGCUGGUCUGAGAGGAUGACCAGCCACACCGGGACUGAGACACGGCCCGGACUCCUACGGGAGGCAGCAGUGGGGAAUAUUGCGCAAUGGGGGCAACCCUGACGCAGCCAUGCCGCGUGAAUGAAGAAGGCCUUCGGGUUGUAAAGUUCUUUCGGUAUUGAGGAAGGUUGUUGUGUUAAUAGCACGACAAAUUGACGUUAAAUACAGAAGAAGCACCGGCUAACUCCGUGCCAGCAGCCGCGGUAAUACGGAGGGUGCGAGCGUUAAUCGGAAUAACUGGGCGUAAAGGGCACGCAGGCGGACUUUUAAGUGAGGUGUGAAAUCCCCGGGCUUAACCUGGGAAUUGCAUUUCAGACUGGGAGUCUAGAGUACUUUAGGGAGGGGUAGAAUUCCACGUGUAGCGGUGAAAUGCGUAGAGAUGUGGAGGAAUACCGAAGGCGAAGGCAGCCCCUUGGGAAUGUACUGACGCUCAUGUGCGAAAGCGUGGGGAGCAAACAGGAUUAGAUACCCUGGUAGUCCACGCUGUAAACGCUGUCGAUUUGGGGAUUGGGCCUUGAGCUUGGUGCCCGAAGCUAACGUGAUAAAUCGACCGCCUGGGGAGUACGGCCGCAAGGUUAAACUCAAAUGAAUUGACGGGGGCCCGCACAAGCGGUGG
rnacentral:rRNA from 1 species